AUUAGAAUCAAAGAUGCAGCUGCUUUCACAUAGCAACAGCCGUCAAAAAAGAGCCGAAAGUGACAGUUUUCCUGUUCAACCACUGUUCCGUUCUGUAACUGAUUUAUGACUUUUUGGGAAAACACAACU
ensembl:snoRNA